GGCUGGAUACCUAAGCUGUUAGGGUUUUUUGUUUUCUUUUUCUGAAAGUGUUUUGGGCUGUUUUGUUGGGCUAGGGUUUAGGUUUAGUUAGGUUCAGGCUAUUUAUUGGUUUUGAGCCAUACAGGCCUAAUGGACUUUGUAAGUGGAUUGGGACUUUGUUUUUUUUUUUUUUGUUUAUUGCUGCAUGGGCCCGGGAAAAUUGGACCAUUUAUAGCUGCCCCUCUUUGCUUGUUGUCGUAUAACAAGAAUGAAGCAAAGACUUCAAAAAGGGCCAAUUUUGCCUGGUCUCUAAAUCUCGACUUCUUUGGUGCUCAUCCUCUUUAAGUAGCCUCGUUCUAAUCCGCUGCCACUUCAGGGAGAUGAGAGUUGUGGUUUUAGUCCACUCCACUGCAACCUCGGGG
rnacentral:lncRNA from 1 species